GUCCCACAUCACUCUGAAUCCUUACCCUGCUUUCAUCAUGACUUUUACUGGAUAUUUUCUGUCUUCCUCAAUGAGAAUAAAGGCCUUGAACUUUAUACAGUUCUUUAUCCCCAGUGUGCAGCACAAAGGCUAGCACUAGAAGCUCAGUAAAUAUUGUUGCUUUUGUGCAUUCAUGAAUGAAUGAAAUGACUUGUCAAUGUCACACUCUGGGUGUUUGGCAGAGCCGGCCUUUGGAUCCAGUCUUGCCUAAUUCCAGACUCCAAGUUCUUAAAUACUUCUUACUCCUGAGGAAGAAGAGGAAGAAUAAGUUGACACUGGGGAAAGCUGGAGCAUAGAGGAUGUGAGAAAGACUUCACUUUCCUGAAGGUGAAACUAGGAAGAUGGUUUGGGACAGACCAGGAAGGAUCAGGAAGUCUUGAAAAGAAGCUCACAAUUUCCCCUGUGGACAUGGAGAGAAGGCUUGCAGCAUGGUGUUAAGAGCCCCUCUAAAUGCUAAUGACCAUCUUAAACACUGGAAACAUCUUGAAGGUUACAGUGAAAACACAAGAUCUGUAGCCAAGGAAACCUGGGUUUGAAUAGGAAUUCAAGCAUCUAAGUUAUAGACCUUGGGAAAGUGAGUUAAUCAAGCCCUACUCUAGAGAUGGGCCUCAAGUUUCUCACCUCUAAAAUAAGAAGUUUACAGUAAUAAUCUUGUGGGAUGGUGGUGAGUGUUAUAUGGGAUAGUGAAUAAAACACUUAUAUAUUAUAAAUUUUAAAAAUGUUACUUCUUUCCUUUUGCAUUAUAUAGAUUCACAUCAUUCUCUAACUCCAAUUCCCAAGUAACACACAAUCAAGUGGAUUUCAAUAAUUUAAUAAAUAUUUGAAGAAAAAAAGAAAGAAAGAAAGAAAGAAAGAAAGAAAGAAAGAAAGAAAGAAAGAAAGAAAGAAAGAAAGAAAGAAGUAAAGAGGAAGGAGGGAGGGAAGGAAGGAAGGAAGGAAGGAAGGAAGGAAGGAAGGAAGGAAGGAAGGAAGGAAGAGACAGGCAGAGGGAAGAAGGGAGGAAGGAAGAGGAAGAAAAAUCUUUAUUAAGAACAGUUCUAAAAUGUGGUGGAGACAUUUUCCUUCUCUGAACGAUCUGAUAUUGUUCUAUCAGCAGAGAUUGGAAGCACUUGUAGUUAUCCUGACCUUGUCCUCUUUCCCCAGAAGUGACAUAGAGAUAUAAAAACUUCUUGUAACACUUCUGAUAAUAUCAUGAGAAAUUGGGGCGCCUGGGUGGCUCACUCAGGCAUCUGCAUUUGGCUCAGGUCAUGAUCUCGGGGUCCUGGGAUGGAGCCCCAUGUAGGGCUCACUGCUCAGCGGGGAGCCUGCUUCUCCCUCUCCCUCUGCCCCUCCCCCCCACUCGUGCUCACGUUCUGUCUCUUUCUCUCUCAAAUAAAUAAAAUCUUUAAAAUAAUAUCAUGAAAAAUUGGUCAUUGGUUCACGAAGCAGAACCUCCUGCUUGAAAGACUUGUAGUUCUGUUUGCUUUUAUCAUGCAUUCAUCACUGGAAUUGUUACAGAAAUAUACUUUAGGGCCACUGAUCUCCUUUCUACACACAAUUAUACAUUUAUUUUUCAGACAAAUAAUCAGCUAUCUAAUGUAAACCUAAGAGACAGAGGAAUUUCCCAAUGCCCAGUCUAAGAUUGGUCUUAACUAAACUUUUCCUGUUUAUGCCACCUCCAGUUUCUGUUUCCAUCCUUGCCUAAGAGGAGAACAUCUACAGGUUUGGAUCGCCAUCUCCACCCUAAAGAAAGGCUAGUUUCUUUUAUUGUUUCAGAGUCUGAAAUGUGAAGUGUGAGAUUAUUAAGUACGUGGUGGGUGUUGUCAAAUGGAUCAUAUCAAUGCAGUUUCUCUAUUUCCUACCACCAUUAGUGUAUAGACAGAUACCCUGGGUAAUUAUAGGCAUUUAUAAUUAGGUUUUGAUGGGGAACUGUUUCAAGAAAAUGAUUUAUUCAGCUGUGAACCAGAUUAGUAACAGCCGGUUGUUGGCAAGAUCUCCCACUCUAACUGAAAACACAGCAAGAAGUGUUGAUACAAAGAGAACUUCAGAACUAUGCUGAAAGUUUCAUUAUUUUGCCAAAAACAAUUGCAUCACUUCCUUGGAACGUAAGUACAUGCCUUGUGAACCAUUAUUUAGCUUUUUUAAAAGUACGGGGGGUGGUUUGUAAAUAUAGGGAUGAAAUAAAAAAGAACAGCCAAUGGAAUUUAUUGGCACAACCUUUAAGUCAGGAUUGGAUUAACAAUAUGUGCAUCAGAAACAAAGGCCAAACAGUGUCAAUGUGAUCAUGGAUAGCCUUUAGAGGCCUCCAAAGUUCCAUCAUGAACUGGUGUCAACAGUUGGACCUUGACAUUAAAAGAGUAGGAGAAGCAGUUGACCCUUAACCCAAGAUGAGACUUUAAUUAGCUGAUAAAGGAGAGGUAUAAUUGCCUGUUAUGCUCUUUUGAAGGCAAAUCUACGUACAAGCACAAAAUUGUAAUUAAAAAUCUCCAAAUAAGCUAAUCUAGCUCAAGAAGGCAAUAGCUAGACUACUAUUACCCUCAGUAUUCACUAAUAGCAUCAUAUACCUAUUUAAAUGCCUCUUUCAAAUGACUUUGUACAUCCUUAAUUAUCCUCUUUUUUAAUUUUUUCUUCAGAGAUUUUAUUUAUUUAUUUAUUUUGAGAGAGAUUUCACGUGCAAGCAGGGGGGAAGGGCAGAGGCAGAGAGAGACUCUCAAGCGGACUCCACUCUGAGUGUGGAACCUGAUACUGGGCGAAUUUCAUGACCUUGAGAUCACGACCUGAGCCAAAAUCAAGAGUUGUACGCUCAACCAACUGAGCCACCCAGGUGGCCCUUAAUUACCCUCUUUCAAGUGGGUAGCAUCUAGCUUCUCUUAAAACUUCAACCUCUAGGAAUAUUCUUGCUGGCACCUGCAGGGGACAUCCCAUUGGUUCAGCAGCUGGCUGUUGCAAGGACUUGUUGAAUGCCAAGUCUAUGUCACACAACAGACACAGAGAUGAGAUACAUAUUCCCUGCCUUGGCCAUGCAAAGAAGAUGGGCAAAUAAGCCAGCGAGUUACAGCACAGACAGAGGUUUUAUCAUGAAGACUUCCUGAAAGAACUGAUACUUGAGCUGAAACUCAUGAGAGCAGCAGCAGCAUCACCCACUACCACCACGGCAGCAAUCAGCAAGAAUUUAUGGAGCACAUAUUACUGAUCAUACUUUGUCCAAUCUUGUAACAGAUUUACACCCCUCUGCUUUAUUCCUGCAUUUCUAUGAGUAGUCUCUUUUUGGUUUAAUCUUGUGUUUUUAAUGGCAUUGUGUUUUCUUGGUGUGUAAUAUUUUUUUUAAAGAUUUUAUUUAUUUAUUUGACAUACACAGAAAGAGUGCACAUGCACAAGCAGGGGUCGUGUCAGGGAGAGGGAGAAGAAGGUUCCCUGCUGAGCAGAGAUAACCCCCCUCCAACGUGGGGCUCAGUCCCAGGACCCUGGGAUCAUGCCUUGAGCCAAAGGCAGCCGCUUAACCGACUGAGCCACCUAGGCGCUCUUCUUGGUGUGUAAUUCCUUCUGCCCUUCCUGUGCCAUAGCAUUUCAGUGCUUAAGUUCUCAUGUUUUCUAUGUACACCUGUCAUUUAAAAAAUUAUUUUCUCAAGGUAAUGCUGCACAAAUAUUUCUUUUCCAUUUUCAAAGCAUUUAAAAGGAUUCAACAGUUAAGUUGUAAGUUAAAUCAAUAAACUAAUGAAAACUAUAAUCAGCAAUUACUAACUUUCAUUAAGAAAUCAAGUAAAGACUAUUGUUCAUUUACUAAGGCUCUGGUUUACUUGUUUCCAAAAAAGAGUACACUAUACUUUCCUCAAAGAAUUCAUAAGACGAAAAUUUUCUAUUGUCCUCAUAUGGGCAAAUUAUGUUCAUUUUAUUUCACAAGCUAUCCAUUUUCAGCAAUACCUUAAUUUAUCUCUAGGUAUAGAGUUAAAAUCCAGCUCUAUACUAAGGUAAGAAGAAAUGACAUAGCUAACUAAAAGACAAGUUAUUUUAUAUGCAGACUUAUAUUUAUCUCAUUUAUUCUUUUUCUAAAAGUAAUCAUCCCAUACUCAACAAAUAUUUACAGUUGUUUUCUUCAAGAAGUAUAAAAAAGACUCCCUUAUGCCACUCAAAUUUACAGACUAGACAAAAUGACAUAACACAGACUCUUAACUAUAGAGAAAAAACAUGGUUACCAGAGGGAGAGGUAGGAGGAGGGAUGGGUGAAAUAGGUGAUGGGGAUUAAGAGCACACUUAUCAUGAUGAGCAUUGAGUAAUGUAUAGCAUUGGUGAAUCACUAUAUUGUACACC